rnacentral:ncRNA from 1 species
UAAAGUUUUGGUCCUAAACUUAAUGCUAUUUUUAAUUAAAAUUACACAUGCAAGCAUCCGCACACCAGUGAAAAAGCCCUCAAUAGUACCAACGGAGCAGGUAUCAGGCACGAGCCACUCAGCCCAAGACACCUAGCCAUGCCACACCCACACGGGACUUCAGCAGUGAUAAACAUUAAGCAAUGAGCGACACGACUUCCCCUCUAAAGCUCGACUUAGUUAUAAUUAACAGGGCCGGUUAACCUCGUGCCAGCCACCGCGGUUAUACGAGGGGCCCAAAAUAGCAACCAACGGCGUAAAUCGUGACUAGAAUAACUUUUAAUCUCCAAGAGGAUAAACUAUGGCCUAACCGUAAAACACAAGACCAAAAGAACCCCCUCCCCUCUUAAUACAAAAAAAUUUGACCCCACGAAAACUAAGAAACAAACUAGGAUUAGAUACCCUACUAUGCUUAGACGUCAAUACGGCACCACACACACACCCCAGUGCCCGCCAGAGGAUUACUAGCGAAAAGCUUAAAACUCAAAGGACUUGGCGGUGCUCCACACCCGACUUAGAGGAGCCUGUCCUAUAAUCGAUAAUCCACGAUAAACCUUACCAUUUUUUGCCACAUCAGCCUAUAUACCGCCGUCGCCAACCUACCUCAUGAGAGCCAAAAAGUAGAUACAACAGUACAACAACUAAAACGUCAGGUCAAGGUGUAGCUAAUAAAAUGGAAGAGAUGGGCUACAUUUUUUAACUUAAAACACACGGCAAAGCACUAUGAAACCUAGUACUACAAGGUGGAUUUAAUAGUAAGGCGAGCAAGAAAACUUACCUUAAACCCGCUCUGGAGCGCGCACACACCGCCCGUCACCCUCCUCAACCACCACCAAAUCCAACAUAUAACACAAAACACACAAAAAGAUGAGGCAAGUCGUAACAUGGUAAGCGUACUGGAAAGUGCGCUUGGAACAAC